UCCUCGAUCUGCUGCGGGCAGAUGAAAUGGAUGUGGGCGUCGAUGCCGCCGGCGGUGGCGACCAGGCCCUCGCCCGCGAUGACCUCGGUGCCGGCGCCGAUGACGAUGUCCACGCCGGGCUGGAUGUCCGGGUUGCCGGCCUUGCCGAUGCCGGCGAUGCGCCCGUCCUUGAGCCCGAUAUCCGCCUUGACCACGCCCCACCAGUCGAGGAUCAGGGCGUUGGUGAUCACCGUGUCGGCGACCUCGGCCGCGGCGCGCUGGCUCUGGCCCAUGCCGUCGCGGA
rnacentral:sRNA from 1 species